rnacentral:lncRNA from 1 species
UAGAAUCUCACCAAUCAUCUAUUGUCUCCAAAGCCUGCUUCCGUCUUCUCUCCAGCACUUCCUUGUGCAUUCUGACCCACAUAAACUUUGACUCAAGGAGGAUGACUUCACAGUGGACUGAUCCAUCUGCCCUCCGGUUUCCCAGAAGAUUAGGAUCAGGCUGCAGCUGAAAUUGUGCUUCAGAGGCCUGAAAGCAAGCAGAAGGCCAGGACAACAGAAAACACAAGAUCAAAAUGGUCUGAAGUCAAGAUGCUUUCAAAGCAAACCAACAUAAUGAAUGCAAACCAAAACCCCAGAAGAUAAUAUACAGAGGAGCGAGCUGGAUGUUGCUGAGGGAGCGCCACAUUGGCCUUAGUCCCGCUGAGGUCUACCUUGAAAAGAAAACAGAACUACAUCUUAGUAAUGAAACUGCUGCUCUCUGUUUUGCAAACUUGCAGUAUUCUAUACAAUGCCUUGUUCUGUCCACGAAGGAAGAAGCCAAAGACGAUAACAUUUUAAUAACAUUAGGUUGUAUAAAUUUUUUUGACAUAGUGCAUAUGGGAUGAAAUAUAUGAUUGUAUUAGAAAUAAUUGAAGUCACGUGCCAAAAAUGGAAAUAGGACUCAUUGUUUUUAAUCUGAUCAAGUUCCAUUAAUCACCAAAAGUCCUUCACAACUAACUCCAUUACUAAUAUACUAAAUAUUGUAUUUAUUGGGUUUUAGCACAAAAUAAAAUGUUCUGUAAAUUAAAAAAAUUAAGUGUAAGCUUAUCACAAUACAUUUACAUGUUAAAUUUAUUAUCAUCAUCAUCAUUUUGUGUGUGUGUGUGUGUGUGUGUGUGUGUGUGUGGUGUGUGUGGUGUGUGUGUGCACAUGUGUUAAGGUAUAGGUAGGGAAAUGGGGACACCUUUCAGCAGUUAGUUCUCUCUUUCCAACAGAAAUCCUUAUUUCAAAAAGGAAAAAGCUAUGGCGUCUGACUGGUGAAGUAAUAGUUACAGUACGUGGAUGAAUUUUAAAUGAAAGCAAUGCUACCUGUGUUUAAAAUGUCUUACUGAAAAACCUCCAUUUGUCUUGGAUGAUUUCAAAUUAUUGUCUCUAUAAUGUUGUGAUUACUGCUGGAACAAAAAACGUGAAGCAAAGCAAACAGGUUCAACCUUAAAACCAUCUAUUCAUCGAAUUUUGAAAGGAGUCAAAACUUGAGAUAAUCUAUUUUCCAAUCAUUUUAGCCAUAGUUAAGGACAAUGCCUUAAGCCAACUCAUGCUUCCUUGCAGUUUCUGUGUUAGUUGGAGAACAAAGCUAAGAAAAUCAUAGGCACUUGGGUUUUCAGGUCUUCAGUUUUCAGAUCCAACUUCAGAAGAAUUUAACCUCAGCACAGAACUAAAGGACACCUGGGGGCUAGAUCCUCUGUAACAAACAGAAAAACGUAACACCUUCACACUUGGGGAAAAGCAUAUUUUCUUUCUUCCCCUGAAAUUCAGGAGAUUCUUACUAAGACAAAUCUCUAGAAUUCUCUUUCCAAAUGUUUCCUGUUUCCUCAGUUUCCAGUCGCUGUUGCCUUCACGCUGUCGGAUAAGUUUAUUUAUCAUUUGGCUCUACUGCAGGGACCACGUGUUUCCUCCAGUAUCACGCUUCUGGUCACCGGGCGGACGCAUUGGCAGGAAACUCUGACCCUUCUGAGUUCUGGGCACCCUGACCUUUGUAACCUGACCUAAGGAGGAGACACUGUUGACCUUUGCAUCCCUAAUCCUUCAGGAUAGUUUUAAAUCACUUGAAGUUUGAGGUCUGAGAUCUGCUUUAGAGUCUGGUGGGUGGUCUCUUUGGACGCCAGGUGGGGGAGUCUCUAUGGGCAAUUACAAACACUGGGAACCGCAUCACUUUCCAAUACAAAGCACUGCCGAUUGUUCUGAACACAACUUCUGACUUUUCAAAAUUCUCCUCUAUACUGAAGUUCUGGGAUUAGAGAGUCUCAUACCUCAAGGUAUGAGAAAAGCCGGCUGUAGCCCCCACUCCCAACCCCUUGUUGUGUGGGGAGCUCAGAUAUGCAAAGUCUGGAAGUGGAAAACUGCUUACUCUCCUCUCCAUGGGGACUGGCCUUUAACUCAUUUCUGGGCCAUUUUCAAGAAAAGCAGUUUUCCUGGUUGCUUUGAUUUUGGCAGAGGCCCUUUCAUCAAGUGUCAUUAUCACCCCCUCUAAAGAAUUCCCGAAGCAGAACUAUUUAACACCUGCAUAUUAGCAACUGUAGGGAAUAUUCUCCCAGUUAGCCACAGAAAGUUCUCCUGUCC